AGCCCGCUCAGAAACUACAAUGAUUGACGGGGCCCGCACAAGCGGAGGAGCAUGUGGUUUAAUUCGAUGAUACGCGAGGAACCUUACCUGGGCUCGAACGUAAGAUGACUGUAGGUGAAAGCUUACAUCUCUUCGGAGCAUUUUACGAGGUGCUGCAUGGUUGUCGUCAGCUCGUGCCGUGAGGUGUCGGGUUAAGUCCCAUAACGAGCGCAACCCCUACCUUUAGUUGCCAUCAGGUAAUGCUGGGGACUCUAAAGGAACUGCCUACGCAAGUAGUGAGGAAGGCGGGGAUGACGUCAAAUCAGCACGGCCCUUACGUCCAGGGCUACACACGUGCUACAAUGGCCGAUACAGAGGGCAGCUACCUGGUGACAGGAUGCAAAUCUCCAAAGUCGGUCUCAGUUCGGAUCGGAGUCUGCAACCCGACUCCGUGAAGUUGGAUUCGCUAGUAAUCGCGCAUCAGCCAUGGCGCGGUGAAUACGUUCCCGGGCCUU
rnacentral:rRNA from 1 species